UACAGAGGUCUCAAGCGUUGUUCGGAUUCAUUGGGCGUAAAGGGUGCGUAGGUGGCGCGGUAAGUCGGGUGUGAAAUUUCGGAGCUUAACUCCGAAACUGCAUUCGAUACUGCGGUGCUUGAGGACUGGAGAGGAGACUGGAAUUUACGGUGUAGCAGUGAAAUGCGUAGAGAUCGUAAGGAAGACCAGUGGCGAAGGCGGGUCUCGUGGACAGUUCCUGACACUGAGGCACGAAGGCCAGGGGAGCAAACGGG
rnacentral:rRNA from 1 species